UUGAGUUUUUGAGUUUUUGAGUU
rnacentral:snRNA from 1 species